rnacentral:lncRNA from 1 species
GAGACGGAAUCUCACUGUGUGGCCCAGGCUGGAGUGCAGAGUGAGACUAACUCAAAACAGAAAAAAAGAGUAGCUAUUGGCUGGUCCAAAUGUAGUGAGUGAUCUCAAUUGAUUAUUCACAGUAAGUUACAGAUCGAACUCCUUGUUCUACUGUUUUCCCCCUUCUCACUACUGCAUUUGACUAGUCUUUAAAAAAAAAAAUAGUAGCUAUUAUUACUCCAGUGGGUUUCCGUGAGUAGCCAUGCACCCUUCCACGUGGCCAGGACUAGGCUGCAUUUGCAGAUACUAUGUACCCUGGGUGCCUCCCACAUCUCACCCUGCCCUGCCCUUCCAUUCAUCCUUUCACCAUUCUCUGAAGCCUGCUGUGU